UAUCUACUCCCUCCGUCCAGAAAUACUUGUCAUCAAAAUGAAUAAAAGGGGAUGUAUCUAGAUGUAUUUUAGUUCUAGAUACAUCCCUUUUUGUCCAUUUUGAUGACAAGUAUUUUCGGACGGAGGGAGUAUAUG
rnacentral:pre_miRNA from 1 species